rnacentral:rRNA from 1 species
UACGGAGGAUCCAAGCGUUAUCCGGAUUUAUUGGGUUUAAAGGGUGCGUAGGCGGCCUAUUAAGUCAGGGGUGAAAGACGGUAGCUUAACUAUCGCAGUGCCUUUGAUACUGAUGGGCUUGAAUGGGCUAGAGGUAGGCGGAAUGUGACAAGUAGCGGUGAAAUGCAUAGAUAUGUCACAGAACACCAAUUGCGAAGGCAGCUUACUAUGGUUUAAUUGACGCUGAGGCACGAAAGCGUGGGGAUCAAACAGGA